rnacentral:rRNA from 1 species
UGUAAGCGUAUACCAAAGUUGUUGCAGUUAAAACGCUCGUAGUCGGAAUUUGGCAGUUCCGGAUGUGUGCACGUCGUGUGCGCACUUCGCGGGGAUUGCUUUUGUGGUCUUGCGUAGGAUGAGGCACUUUUAUUAGUGAACGUCCUCACGCAACCACUUUUUACUGUGAGAAAAUCAGAGUGCUCAAAGCAGGCAUUUGCCGUGAAUGUAUUAGCAUGGAAUAAUAGAAUAGGACUUGGUUCUAUUUUGUUGGUUUGUUGGGACUGAGUAAUGAUUAAGAGGGACAGUUGGGGGCAUUUGGAUUUCGGUGCUAGAGGUGAAAUUCUUAGAUUACCGAAAGACAAACUGCUGCGAAAGCGUCUGCCAAGGAUGUUUUCAUUGA